ensembl:misc_RNA 7SK 7SK RNA
GGAUGUGACAGUGAUCUGGCUAUGACAUGUGUCACCUCAUUGAUCCCCAGGGUUGAUUUGGCUGAUCUGGCUGGCUAGAUAGGUGUCCCCUUCCUCCCUCACUGCUCCAUGUGUGUCCAACUGUGCGCUUGAUGGAAGAGGAUUGUCUUCGCCAAUAGAGAUGGACCAGUCUUCGCUUGAGGGUAUAUGAAUAGCUGCGUUCCCCUGCUAGUGCCUCCAAACUGAGAUUCAGUGGUGUAAUAAUGAAAUGGGCUUCCUUUGUGUGUUGCUUUUUGACAUUUGAAACAGGACCCAU